GUGUCAGCAGCCGCGGUAAUACGGAGGGUGCAAGCGUUAUCCGGAUUUACUGGGUUUAAAGGGUGCGUAGGCGGAUAGGUAAGUCAGGGGUGAAAUCUUCGAGCUUAACUCGGAAACUGCCUUUGAUACUAUUUAUCUUGAAUAUUGUGGAGGUAAGCGGAAUAUGUCAUGUAGCGGUGAAAUGCUUAGAUAUGACAUAGAACACCCAUUGCGAAGGCAGCUUACUACGCAUAUAUUGACGCUGAGGCACGAAAGCGUGGGGAUCAAACAGGAUUAGAUACCCUGGUAGUCC
rnacentral:rRNA from 1 species